AUAUUAAAGUUGUUGCAGUUAAAAAGCUCGUAGUUGGACCUUGGACCUGGACAGGCGGUCCGCCUCACGGCGAGUACUGUCUUGCUGGGUCUUUCCUCUUGGUGAUCUGUUGUUUCGGCAGCAGGGAACCAGGACCUUUACUUUGAAAAAAUUAGAGUGUUCAAAGCAGGCUCGACGCCGGAAUAUAUUAGCAUGGAAUAAUAAAAUAGGACGUGCGGUUCUAUUUUGUUGGUUUUUGGAAUCGCCGUAAUGAUUAAUAGGGACAGUCGGGGGCAUUAGUACUUCACAUGCUA
rnacentral:rRNA from 1 species